GGUCGUACACAGGGGUGAGAAAGAUGAUGGUGAGAGGAAGAUUCUGUGGGCAGGGGUCGCUGGCCCCUUGCCCUACAGCAGGGUAUGCACAGACUGUUGCUAUCAGGAUGGGAAGAGCA